AUGACCUUCAUCAUCAUCUUCAUCUGGACUCUCACAGUGUUUGCUCAAGAGUGUAGAGGACAGAUCACCGUCACUCAGAGUCCCUCAAUGACAGCAGCUCAACCAGGACAAACUGUGGAGAUCAACUGUAAAACCAGCAGUAAUGUGUACAAAUAUAGUGAUGGGGAUGAAACUUUAGCAUGGUACUUACAGAAACAUGGAGAAGCUCCUAAACUCCUGAUUUAUUAUGCAAAAAAACUCCAGUCAGGAACUCCAUCUAGAUUCAGUGGCAGUGGAUCUAACAGUGAUUUCACUCUGACCAUCAGUGGAGUCCAGACUGAAGAUGCUGGACAUUAUUACUGUCAGAGUUAUCACAGUGGUGGUGUGUUCACACAGUGA